AGAUGCUUGAAAUUCCUCUUUGGCAAAAGGAAUUCCCCCUUUCAGACUUCACUUUUUUAAAUGCAAAUAAUGUCAGAGUGGGGGUGCCACUUACUGUAAUGUAAAUCAGUUUGUCAGAGAUUAUCAAUGGAUUCUCACAGGAACAAAUAUAAUACAAAAUGGAAACUGUAUGAAUAAAGGACUGCAUUAAGGACGGUGACCUCUAUAGCCUAUUGAUAGAGAAUAAUUUCAUUUGGACACGUACUUUCUGGCAUUUGUGGAGCAACGCUGAUGAAGUGCAAUAAUGUAAAGCUUCAAGAUUGUAUUUUCUGACCUCUAACUUUGAGAUGCUACAGAGGGCCCCUGAAGCAUCCAAAAGAGAGGUAAACAAAGGUUUUUAUGGUUCAUGGAGGACAAUCAACCCCUUCACAAUCUCAAACCCAAAGAGUGGAUCUUCUGAGAACAUCUACCGUAAAGGCUAUAGUUACACAACAGACUUUAAAUUCUUUUGUGAAAGUUAUGAUAGAAUUGGCUGAAUAAAGAAGUAUCUGUGCAGCUGCUGGCACUUGUGGCCUAUGGAGAAAUACAUCAAAUGAAAAUGAUAGAGAUUCAGUGGUAGGGGAUUAAUGAAGAGAUUGCUUAGUUAAGUGAGUAGACUCUUUAUCUAGCUCGUUCUUUGAUCUAUUUGAUUUUAGAUGGUUUGGAUUAUGGGGACCCUGGGUAAGGAUCAAACUCCAAACUCUUAUUAUUAUCCUCCUGAUAGUCAUAAUAAUAGUCUACCUUGUUAGCUGUAUUUUCUCAAAGGUUUUAAAUGUUUGUAUGCAUUCUAGAGAUGUCUAGAAUGUCAAAUUGGUCUUUCUUCAACUGGAAUGACAAGAGCUGAAAGAAAUGUGUGACCAGGAGGACGCUGUAACCUAUGAAUGACAUGCUGAGUUGAGAAACCCAAAACGAUGGUAACUGAGAGUGAUGCUAAGGCCCUAAGUUUUGGUCACACUCUCACCCAAGUGAGAAUCAGACCAAAAAGGGGCAAUUUUUUUGAAACAAAAUUCUGGGAGGCCAUUGUUUUGUACUGAGCUCAUGCAUUAGGCCCCAACAAACCAAACCAAAGUGGAGUCACUUGUGCUAAGACUUUAAGGAAACACUUAGAUCCUAGAACAGACCAGGUUGUUUUUCUCCUGCAAAUCUCUAUAACAAACAUUCCUGACAGCAUAGGUAUCCAACCCCUGAAGUUCCCAUUAAAUCUUUUUUUUGUUUUGUUUUUCCUGAGACAGAGUUUCACUCUUGUUGCCCAGGCUGGAGUGCAGUGGCACAAUCUUGGCUCACUGCAACCUCUACCUCCUGGGUUCAAGCAAUUCUCCUGCCUCAGCCUCCUGAGUAGCUGGGGUUACAGGCGCCCGCCACCACGCCCAGCUAAUUUUUUGUAUUUUUAGUGGAGAUGGGGUUUCAUCAUGUUGGUCAGGCUGGUCUCGAACUCCUGACCUCAGGUGAUCCGCCUGCCUCGGCCUCCCAAAGUGCUGGGAUUACAGGCAUGAGCCACCGUGCCUGGCCCCCAUUAAAUCUUUUAACCAAAUUGCUUUCCUCUUGCCUGGAGACCAUCAAGCUUCAGAUGAUCACCAGUUCCAGGUGAAGACACCACCCCUGGCCAUCAAGGAGCUACCCUAUCUCCACUAGACAGAGCAGGGUGAGAGUUCCCUGAUCCCCAGUAGGUAGGGACUACGCUCCAAACCAGCAUGAAGCAGUUGCAGAAGAAAGACGAUCGGUCCCUCUGCGUCCCAUGAAGAUUUAUGGGGAUCAUGUCUCUCAGGGGGGAAAUGAGGCAGGAGAAUAGGGUCCGGGGUCAGGGAACCUAAGGACUUCCUAGAACUAAAUUAAACGGAAAAACCCCAACUGUCUAAGACCAAGUCAGCUAUGACAGGAACUAUCCUCUUCAUUUACAUAGGUUGUACACCAAGUAAAUGACAUUGUAACUUUACUUCAUCCUCUUCAUUUACAUAGUGUGUACACUCAGUAACCAAUGGAAACCUCUAGAGGGUAUUUAAACCCCAGAAAAUUCUGUAACCAAGCCCUUGAGACGCUUGCUGAGGCCCAUUCCCAUCCUGUGGAGUGUGCUUUCAUUUUCAAGAAAUCUCUGCUUUUGUUGCUUCAUUCUUUCCUUGCUUUGUUUGUGUAUUUUGUCCAAUUCUUUGUUCAAAAUGCCAAGAACCUGGACGCCUUCCAUUGGUAACAAAGGGAGACUAGGAAAUUUAGUCCCUACUUGGGUAGCAGUAUAUCAGUUACUAUAAUGGAGAGAAUAGAUUUUGGGGGACAGCCAGAAAUUUCCAUCACAGGAUACAAUUUCCAACAUUUUAAAAUUGAAAUUUUAAAAUGAAAUAUACAUUAUUUUAUCAAAUGUAUCCAAUGGUUGCUAAAUUCUGUAGUGAUUAAUAUCCACCACUAAAUUCUGUAGUGGUUUAAUAUCCACCAUUGUCAAUUUUUGUAAAUACUCGAACAAGCUCUUCUUUAACAGCUGGAUAUGUUAUAUUAUUCCUUUCUCUCCUAGAAGUCAUAAUUCUAUUUCACCUCCUCCACGAAAUGUUAUGCUAAUGUAAUAUAUUUUAGGUUUAAAAACCUUUUAUUAAUCAUCCUAUCAUACUUCUACGAAAGCAAAAAUAUGUGUUUACAUAUGUAUGUGUACAUAGGUAUAUACAAAUAUAGAUAUAUUGAAAAUU
rnacentral:lncRNA from 1 species